rnacentral:rRNA from 1 species
AGGACACUACCAGGAGUGGAUCCUGCGGCUCAAUUUGACUCAACACGGGAAAGCUCACCUGGUCCGGACACUGGAAGGAUUGACAGAUUAAGAGCUCUUUCUUGAUUCAGUGGGUGGUGGUGCAUGGCCGUUCUUAGUUGGUGGAGCGAUUUGUCUGGUUAAUUCCGAUAACGAACGAGACUCUAGCCUACUAAAUAGGUGUUCCGAUCCCAUCAGUCGGACGCUCUUCUUAGAGGGACAAGCGGCGUUUAGCCGCACGAGACAGAGCAAUAACAGGUCUGUGAUGCCCUUAGAUGUCCGGGGCCGCACGCGCGCUACACUGGAGGAACCAGCGUGUGUCCCUGUCCGGCAGGACUGGGUAAUCCGUUGAACCUCCUUCGUGAUAGGGAUAGGGGCUUGUAAUUGUUCCCCUUGAACGAGGAAUUCCCAGUAAGCGUGAAUCAUCAGUUCACGUUGAUUACGUCCCUGGCCUCUGUACACACCGCCCGUCGCUACUACUGAUUGGAUGAUUUAGUGAGG